GACGGAGGAUGCAAGCGUUAUCCGGAAUGAUUGGGCGUAAAGCGUCCGCAGGUGGCAGUUCAAGUCUGCUGUCAAAGACCGGGGCUUAACUUCGGAAAGGCAGUGGAAACUGAACAGCUAGAGUAUGGUAGGGGCAGAGGGAAUUCCUGGUGUAGCGGUGAAAUGCGCAGAUAUCAGGAGGAACACCGGUGGCGAAGGCAGCUCGCUGGGACGUUACUGACGCUGAGACGCGAAAGCGUGGGGAGCAAACAGG
rnacentral:rRNA from 1 species